GUUGUGACUAUACCGCUGGAGGCCAAACAUUUUGAAUAUUUAUCCAGAAAUAUAGGAGAGAAAUCUGAAGGAUUUUUAGCUUAAAGUGCAUCUGAACCAUUCAACAGUUGAUUGUCCUACAUUUAGGACAGACAUAGAAACAGGUGUACAGUUGACACAAAGCUGUAAAAGUGCAUGCUGAAAUCUACAUCUUUACACUAAAAUAGACUAAUCCUCAGCAUGUGUAGUGUCUGCAAAGCAUGAGUUUGUUUUUGGAGUAAAAAUUGUCAGGUGAUUAUGAAAUGUACAACCAGCCUGACCAAUGAUAUGUCUCAACAGAGUUGAUUGACAGAUGCCAGUGAAAAAGGGUGAAGAGAUUGAAACUAUAUGUUUCACAACAGAGAAGACACUUUAAAAAGAAACUUGUUCAAGAACAUGCAAAAUUCACUCUGAAUACCAAUUGGCAUGAUGCAGACAGUUGAGACGAGGUGAAAUAUAUUUGUAUACUAAGAAGGUAAUUGAUA